rnacentral:rRNA from 1 species
CCUACGGGUGGCUGCAGUGGGGAAUAUUGGACAAUGGGCGAAAGCCUGAUCCAGCCAUGCCGCGUGUGUGAAGAAGGCCUUCGGGUUGUAAAGCACUUUCAGUGGGGAAGAAAGCCUUGGGGCUAAUACCCUCGAGGAAGGACAUCACCCACAGAAGAAGCACCGGCUAACUCCGUGCCAGCAGCCGCGGUAAUACGGAGGGUGCGAGCGUUAAUCGGAAUUACUGGGCGUAAAGCGCGCGUAGGCGGUCUGAUAAGCCGGUUGUGAAAGCCCCGGGCUCAACCUGGGAACGGCAUCCGGAAACUGGCAGGCUAGAGUGCAGGAGAGGAAAGUAGAAUUCCCGGUGUAGCGGUGAAAUGCGUAGAGAUCGGGAGGAAUACCAGUGGCGAAGGCGGCCUUCUGGACUGAAACUGACGCUGAGGUGCGAAAGCGUGGGUAGCAAACAGGAUUAGAUACCCUAGUAGUC